GAUGAACGCUGGCGGCGUGCCUAAUACAUGCAAGUCGAGCGAACGGACGAGAAGCUUGCUUCUCUGAUGUUAGCGGCGGACGGGUGAGUAACACGUGGAUAACCUACCUAUAAGACUGGGAUAACUUCGGGAAACCGGAGCUAAUACCGGAUGAUAUUUUGAACCGCAUGGUUCCAAAGUGAAAGACGGUCUUGCUGUCACUUAUAGAUGGAUCCGCGCUGCAUUAGCUAGUUGGUAAGGUAACGGCUUACCAAGGCAACGAUGCAUAGCCGACCUGAGAGGGUGAUCGGCCACACUGGAACUGAGACACGGUCCAGACUCCUACGGGAGGCAGCAGUAGGGAAUCCUCCGCAAUGGGCGAAAGCCUGACGGAGCAACGCCGCGUGAGUGAUGAAGGUCUUCGGAUCGUAAAACUCUGUUAUUAGGGAAGAACAUAUGUGUAAGUAACUGUGCACAUCUUGACGGUACCUAAUCAGAAAGCCACGGCUAACUACGUG
rnacentral:rRNA from 1 species